rnacentral:lncRNA from 1 species
CACAUUGCAUGUUUGGAAAUCAAAGUAUUACGUAUGACCACCAAUGACCGAAUACCUAGCCCUCCUCAUUAGUCGACUGGCACAACAUAUCCCAAGCAAUAAGAUGGACCCCUCUCCCUCCUCUGUACAUUGAGGAUCCCCAGAAGAACCCUUAGAACAAACUCUCCAACUUUAGCAGGAUGCUCUUUGGCAGGAUGGGACUAGACAUAAGGU